AUUGAACGCUGGCGGCAUGCCUUACACAUGCAAGUCGAACGGUAACAGGUCUUCGGAUGCUGACGAGUGGCGAACGGGUGAGUAAUACAUCGGAACGUGCCUAGUAGUGGGGGAUAACUACUCGAAAGAGUGGCUAAUACCGCAUGAGAUCUACGGAUGAAAGCAGGGGAUCGCAAGACCUUGUGCUACUAGAGCGGCCGAUGGCAGAUUAGGUAGUUGGUGGGAUAAAAGCUUACCAAGCCGACGAUCUGUAGCUGGUCUGAGAGGACGAUCAGCCACACUGGGACGGAGACACGUCCCAGAAUCCUACGGGAGGCAGCAGUGGGGAAUUUUGGACAAUGGGCGAAAGCCUGAUCCAGCAAUGCCGCGUGCAGUAUGAAGGCCUUCGGGUUGUAAACUGCUUUUGUACGGAACGAAAAGCCCCGGGUUAAUACCCUGGGGUCAUGACGGUACCGUAAGAAUAAGCACCGGCUAACUACGUGCCAGCCGCCGCGGUAA
rnacentral:rRNA from 1 species